ACGAACGCUGGCGGCGUGGAUAAGACAUGCAAGUCGAACGAGAGAAUUGCUAGCUUGCUAAUAAUUCUCUAGUGGCGCACGGGUGAGUAACACGUGAGUAACCUGCCCCCGAGAGCGGGAUAGCCCUGGGAAACUGGGAUUAAUACCGCAUAGUAUCGAAAGAUUAAAGCAGCAAUGCGCUUGGGGAUGGGCUCGCGGCCUAUUAGUUAGUUGGUGAGGUAACGGCUCACCAAGGCGAUGACGGGUAGCCGGUCUGAGAGGAUGUCCGGCCACACUGGAACUGAGACACGGUCCAGACACCUACGGGUGGCAGCAGUCGAGAAUCAUUCACAAUGGGGGAAACCCUGAUGGUGCGACGCCGCGUGGGGGAAUGAAGGUCUUCGGAUUGUAAACCCCUGUCAUGUGGGAGCAAAUUAAAAAGAUAGUACCACAAGAGGAAGAGACGGCUAACUCUGUGCCAGCAGCCGCGGUAAUACAGAGGUCUCAAGCGUUGUUCGGAAUCACUGGGCGUAAAGCGUGCGUAGGCUGUUUCGUAAGUCGUGUGUGAAAGGCGCGGGCUCAACCCGCGGACGGCACAUGAUACUGCGAGACUAGAGUAAUGGAGGGGGAACCGGAAUUCUCGGUGUAGCAGUGAAAUGCGUAGAUAUCGAGAGGAACACUCGUGGCGAAGGCGGGUUCCUGGACAUUAACUGACGCUGAGGCACGAAGGCCAGGGGAGCGAAAGGGAUUAGAUACCCCUGUAGUCCUGGCAGUAAACGGUGCACGCUUGGUGUGCGGGGAAUCGACCCCCUGCGUGCCGGAGCUAACGCGUUAAGCGUGCCGCCUGGGGAGUACGGUCGCAAGAUUAAAACUCAAAGAAAUUGACGGGGACCCGCACAAGCGGUGGAGUAUGUGGCUUAAUUCGAUGCAACGCGAAGAACCUUACCUGGUCUUGACAUCCCUAUGAAUAACGGGCAAUGCCGUUAGUACUUCGGUACAUAGGAGACAGGUGGUGCAUGGUUGUCGUCAGCUCGUGUCGUGAGAUGUUUGGUUAAGUCCAGCAACGAGCGCAACCCCUGUUGCCAGUUACCAGCACGUGAAGGUGGGGACUCUGGCGAGACUGCCCAGAUCAACUGGGAGGAAGGUGGGGACGACGUCAGGUCAGUAUGGCCCUUAUGCCCAGGGCUGCACACGUACUACAAUGCCCAGUACAGAGGGGGCCGAAGCCGCGAGGCGGAGGAAAUCCUAAAAACUGGGCCCAGUUCGGACUGUAGGCUGCAACCCGCCUACACGAAGCCGGAAUCGCUAGUAAUGGCGCAUCAGCUACGGCGCCGUGAAUACGUUCCCGGGUCUUGUACACACCGCCCGUCACAUCAUGGAAGCCGGUCGCACCCGAAGUAUCUGAAGCCAACCGCAAGGAGGCAGGGUCCUAAGGUGAGACUGGUAACUGGGAUG
rnacentral:rRNA from 1 species